rnacentral:misc_RNA from 1 species
CUGCUUGCUAACGGCGCCGCCCUGGGCAACUAGGGCGACGUUGGGCAUGCUACCCUUGCCUAUAUAUACCAUUUGUUAUUUCCCUCGGCGGGGCAACCCGCCGCUGGGGACAUUUAAACCCUUAUGUAUUAAGCAUCAAACCUUCUGAAACAAACUAAAUAAUCA